AUGUUAAUGCCAAUUGAAUCAAUGUUAUUAGCUGUCAAUUUGAACUUUUUGGUAUUUUCCGUUUCUUUGGAUGAUAUGAUGGGUCAAUCAUUUGCUUCAUUAGUUCCAACAGUGGCAGCUGCGGAAUCUGCUAUUGGAUUAGCCAAUUUCGUUAUUACUUUUCGAGUCCGAGGGACUAUUGCUGUCGAGUCUAUAAAUUGCAUUCAAGGUUAA
rnacentral:rRNA from 1 species